AUUGAACGCUGGCGGAAUGCUUUACACAUGCAAGUCGAGCGGCAGCGCGGGGGCAACCCUGGCGGCGAGCGGCGAACGGGUGAGUAAUACAUCGGAACGUACCCUGUCGUGGGGGAUAACGAAUCGAAAGAUUCGCUAAUACCGCAUACGACCUGAGGGUGAAAGCGGGGGAUCGCAAGACCUUGCGCGACUGGAGCGGCCGAUGUCGGAUUAGCUAGUUGGUGAGGUAAAGGCUCACCAAGGCGACGAUCCGUAGCUGGUCUGAGAGGAUGAUCAGCCACACUGGGACUGAGACACGGCCCAGACUCCUACGGGAGGCAGCAGUGGGGAAUUUUGGACAAUGGGGGCAACCCUGAUCCAGCCAUUCCGCGUGCGGGAAGAAGGCCUUCGGGUCGUAAAGCGCUUUUGUCAGGGAGCAAAUCCUUGUGGCUAAUACCCACCGGGGAUGAGAGUACCUGAAGAAUAAGGACCGGCUAACUACGUGCCAGCCGCCGCAGUAA
rnacentral:rRNA from 1 species